CACUGUGGGCACACCAGGGUCUCUGAGACUCUCCUGCGUGGGAUCUGGAUUCACCGUCAGUGACUACUACAUGGACUGGACCCGCCAGUCUCCAGGGAAGGGGCUGGAGUGGGUUGGUUUCAUUAGAAACAAAGCUAAUAGUCACAGCACAGAAUAUGCUGCAUCGGUGAAAGUCAGAUUCACCAUCUCAAGAGAAGAUUCCAAAAGCACUGUCUAUCUGCAAAUGGACAGCCUGAAGUCCCAGGACACAGCCGUUUAUUUCUGUAGUCGUAUUCCAUGGCGUACAUAUACCACAGUUUCCUUAUCCAAUCAUCCAUCGAUAGACAU